GACCCAGCAAUUCCAUCCAAGAUGAGUCAAGACGUACGGCCACGCAAAGGCUUAUACAUGAAUAUUCAUGGCAGCUUUAUUUGAAAUACCCACAAAGUUGAAACAACCUGAAUGUCCGUCAACUGGUGAAUAGAAAGACGAACUGUGAAACACUCACACCGCGGAAUACUACUCAGCAAUAAAAAUGAAUUACCUAUUGAUACAUGUCACAACAUGGAUGAAUCUCAAAAAACAUUAUGAUUCCCGAAAGCGCGAAAGAGUACACAUUGUAUAAUUUCAUGUGUAUGAAGUUCUGCAACAGGCGAAGCUUAUAUACAGUGCCAGAAACAGAUCAGUGGUUACGUUUAGGGUAAGGAGUGGGAGGACUUCCCAGAAAGGGAAGGAAGGAACUUUCCGGGACGAUGGAAAUGUUCUAUAUAUUGUUUAUAGUGGUGAUUGCACUAAUGCUUACAAAUGUCAAAAUUCAUCAAAUUAAAAUUUAUGCAUUUCAUGGUAUGUGAAUUACAUCUUAUUUUUAAAAAAACCCUGAGUUGUGAACUGCUACCACCAGGUGGCAGUGGUGCCUAAUGCCCAAGAGACUGUAAAGUUGGCACUGUGACCAAGAUUUGUGAAUCGUUAUAUUUGAGUGUUCCUGAAAACAUGAGGCAUUGUCUUGUGGGCAUGUAUUUUUAAUUUCAAUCAAUACUAUUGUGCAAGAGGGCUCUGUUCCUGACGUUUUUAUCCCCUCUUCAGCACCGUGUGUUAAAGAUCUGUUUACGUUGCUAUGUAUACACCAUUGGUUGCUAGUUUACUGCUCCUUAUUAUGAAAGACUUUCCAAUGAUGGACACCUCAUUGUAUCCAGCUCCCCAACCAUCACAAACAACUUUGUGAUAAAACACCCUCUUACGUGUCUCCCCGUGGACCUGUAUGAGAAGUUCUCUAAUUAUAUAGCCUGCAAUGGGAUCCUUCCCACAUCUGCUCUUAUUUAUUUAUUUGUAUUUUUUAUCCCCUUCUACUUAAUAAAUAUCCCCCAGAUUAUUUAUGAAAAAACAGCUGAAUCUGAGCAUCCUAAACUUUUAUUUAAUUUUAUUUUUUAUAUAUGUAUAUGUUUUUCUGGUGAGGAAGAUUGUCCCUGACCUAACAUCUGUGCCCAUCUUCCUCUAUUUUGUGUGUGGGAUGCUGGCAUAGCAUGGCUUGAUGAACAGUGUGUGGGUCCACACCCAGGACCCGAACUUGCAAACCUCAGACCACUGAAGCGAAGCGUGUGUAACCACUAUGCCACCGGGCUGGCUCCUAAACUUUUAAAUUAAAGGAAAUACUUGUUGUGAGUCCGUUUAUUUUUUUUUGUCUCCUUGCAAAACGUGUAAUGUUGUUUAUGAUGUCGUUUAAACAUACAAAAUAGUAUUGCUGACUGAGAUUUGGACCUCCAAAUGCAUAAUCACGGAUUUUCACCUACUGAAUAAAUUUUCCCCAAAUGUUCAUGGUAAAACGGCUGAAUUUAAGCAACAUCCUAAAUGUUAACUUCAAGGUGAUGUGUUAGAACAAUGUUUAAGGCAAGAUUCCUCAACAGUGGCACCACUGACACUUGAGACCUGAUAAUUCUUUGCUGUGGGGGCUGUCCUGUGCAUUACAGGACGUUGAGCAGCAUCCCUGGCCACCCCCCACUAGACACCAGUAGCACCCUCCUCCUUGUUGUGACAACCAAAAAUGUCUCCAGAUGCUGAGGAACAUGGAAUGGGAGGGGCAAAAUCGCCUUGAGUUAGGAGCCACUGUUUAAGGUAAAUGAACUCUGGGAUUCACUUGGGGCCUUUUUCUAGACUCUUCCUUUCUUUUUGUCAGUUUAUUUCAACUCUAAUCCCAGCUACGCACUUGCAGUAUGUGGUCCCUUUUAAAACUCCGAUCCUCCCCUGCCUUCUGGCUGGAGCACAGCUCUUCCUGGGGAUACUUACGGGCAUCCUUAGUCUUUUAGCGGACUGAGCACCAAGCAGUGCUCCUGGUUCCCUUCUCUCUUGGUUUCCUGGCUUCUCCCUCUCAGCCACUGCAGUGGGUCAGAGGAGGAAGAAGGAGUCGGAAUUUCUCCUUGUGUCCUCCUCCCCGAGGAAUCCAGAAGAGCAGAGAGAGCCCCACAGUCUGAUGACUCAGGUGGCAAGGGGAACAGAAAAGGAAGCCUCUAUUUCUUUUUGGUUCUCACAUCUUCUUCCCUUACCGGCUAGCUAGAUCUCCUUCGUAACUUAAUUUUUACCCACAAUCCUUGGAUGAAUACCCAGAGUCAUGACUGUCCCUGUAUUCCUCAGCACACAAGCAAUAAGAUGCUUCUCAGGAAAGUUCUCUGUGGUCAUAUUAGUGAGGGCAACGCUGCCUACUGGAUCCCUCUCCUAGACACUAGCAAUGACCACGAGUCUAUUAUAGCCUCCAGAAGCUCUUCAGAUGUCUAUUUUUAAUCCAGCAUUUUCCAGAUUAAGUGACUACAGAACCUUCUUACCUCCCCUCCAUCUUUUAACAAAUAUCUAUUAACACCCCCAGAACUGGUGUCCCAGGGAAUACAGUUUGGGGAAUGUUACCUAUUAACAACCUACAUCUUUUGUAAAUUGCCUUCAAAAGCCAUUAAUGCGUUUGUUCCUUUAUUCAAAAAAGCUGCUGAGCAUCCCCCAUGCCAGGUAUUAGGGCUCCAAAGAUGAUUUGUCCAGCAGCCCCGGGGCGGCAGAGGUGCAGGCGAGUCCAGCUGUCAGCAGCUGUAUCAAGGUUUGAGCGAGGUGUUGGGGAAACGAAGGGAGCAGUGAUUAAUUCUGACACUGGAGUUCUGAUCCUCUUCACAGAUUCGGCAGUAUCCCACUAAGCCUAGAAUACAGGACUGGGCCCCUUCCAUCCCGUGGGAUCAGGGGCUUCUUAGAAAGGCCCGGUCUCAGGCUCCACCUUAGAAUGACCGAGUCGGAACCUGUGCUUUAACAAGGGCCCCAGAUGAUCUUUACGUCCCUCACUGUGUGAGAAGCGCUGCCUGGAAAUGAGCACGCCUUCUGACGAGAAUGUAAACAGAACCAAAAUGCACUUCUGUGUGGUGUCUCGGCCAAAGGUGGAAAGAACAGGAAGGGAAGACCGGUCAGGGCAAGAAGUGUCGUCUGUUCUCUCCUAGCCCUCACUUCACAGUGGCUGAUUCAAGAGGGAAGCCUGCAGGGAUGUCAUCAGGGAGCCAGGACGGUAAGGAGGCCGUCCCUGUGGGCCUGCUUGCCUAGAUGUCUGCUGUGGCCGGCUAGGCUUCCGAAGCACAAGGCACGAGGCACGACGCACACUGGGAAAAAGAGAAGGAGCAGGUUCAGAGGGGAAAGGGAUACACCAUCUCCGCCGUGGGCCAGGCGAGCGGCCAGCUCAGGGCCACAGAGCCCAGGGCGCAGGGCUCUAUAUAGAGAACUUGCGGCUUCUUUCUCUUGAUCCUCAACACUGGUCAAGGGAGGAGGUGCAGGGAGGUUGAUGGUAGCGUCAGGAGGCAAAGACGGGCAGGGCGAGUGUCCCUAGAGGCUGGUAGGAGGUCACGCCCUGGGCACUGGGGGGACGGAACUCUGCAGGCCGCAGAGACUGCAGGCAGAGACUGCAGGCAGCGCAGCCUUGGCCAGGGCCCGGGGGUGGGGAGUGCCCAGGGAAAGGCUCUUCCCACAGACUUGCCUUGUGACGGGUGGGGUGACUAGCCCAGGUGGGAGGUAACUAAGGGGAGGAAACCACAUGGAUAACCGUGAUGAAGGGUAGCAGAAUACGCCCACCGAACAUAUGACUGCAGGAGUUCAGGACACGCCACCCUGAAACACCCUGCUUUGGUAUAUUGAGCAUUUUGAGCUGAUGGCACUUGAAAAACAGCAAAUGCCAGGAGAGCUUUCUCUGAACUCCCCUUAUUUGCCUAAAGACAGAUCCUCCUAAAGAAGCUCUCUGUCCCACAUCCCCUCCCCAGAGGUACCAUCACGCAGGGAAGACUGACUCUUAUCAGUGGAGAGGAGACUAGAAGUCGACACCACACCCAGAAGACAAACUCCAUCACAAACCAUAACACCUCCCCUCCAUUCUUCUAAGGGCCCAUUCGUCUUCCCUAAAAAUCACUUCCUUCUGCUAAGAGGCCUACAUUCCCCUCCCCUCUCCAUAUCAAGAUGGUAUUUAGUCCUGAACUCUGAGCCACCUCGGGGAGUUACUCAUUUUCCCCUGGGUGUCUCCCGUGCAUACACGUGGCAGAUACGUGCGUAAACUUCUGUUUGUUUUUCUGUAGUUAACUGUCUUCUAUUACAGGGCUCUCAGCUAAGAACUCAGAAGGUAGAGAGAAAAUCAUUUUUCGUCUCCUACAACAGCAAAACGAAACAAAAUAUCGAAAUACCAACACUGCCUUUCAGCACAUUUCCCUGCCCUGACCCCAGGAGGAGGCCUUACGGGUGAUGCAUCAGGGGUGCGGGUACGUGCCCUCCAGACGGCCAGAACCCAAUGCCUGAUUCACCAGGAUGAAGAAUUCUUGCUAUUUCACUUAAAUAUUCCAAAGGUAAUUCAGGCAGGAAUCAGGUAGACAGAGAUGGGCUAAGGGAGAUGCCAUUUCAUGUCCCUCCUCAGAGGAAAGGGCCCGAGCACAGGCCCAAAGGCAGGACCACACUCACCUCGGCAGGAACAAGGACAUCAGCUUACAUGUUCCCUCCGGUCCUGAUUAAGCCGGCCUGAUGGUGCUUUCCACUCUCCAAGGAUACCAUUCAUACCCUGCGCGUGUCACUGGUGGUAGAGUCCCACACCUGUCCCCAAGGACACGGCUACUUCUGACUCAACUUAUUUUCCAGAAGCCCCCUACAGUUGGCCCCAACUCACCCUGCCUGGAAGACAAGAACUCCCCAGAUCUCCGCAGUAGGUACCCAGGGUGACAGGACUCACGAUAGCGACCGCACUCCCACCGGCAGCCCUCAGCAGAAGGUCCCUGUGGCACCACCUCCUCCUCUCUUCUGAAGAAAGAGUUAACCCGACAGUUGUUUGCCAAGGUUCCCGCACUAACCAGGCCCAGGCGCCCAGGAAACGGAAGCCCUGGCUGGGACUUGCCGCUCAGUCUGGGUCGUUCCUGAUAAUGUGAGCAGAUCAUGCCGCACAUGUUCUCUUAGAAAAAGCAGAUAAAAUUCUGGAUACAAAAGCAAUUCAUGCUCAUUGUAGAAAAAUUGGAGUAUUAAAAAAAUAUAAAGGAAAAAAAUAAGUACCACCCCUAAUUCCACCACCUAAACGCAACCUCUUUGUACAUUUUGGUGACUUCCUUACAAGUUCUCUUUUUCUCUGCUCGUGUGUGUAUGCUUUUAACAUAACUGAGAUCGUGAUGACCGUAAGUUUCCUGCCUUCCUUUUUCACUUGGCAGCAUGUUAUAAGCUGUUGCUUAUUAAGGUUUGCUGUAAUCAUCAUUAAUAUUCCAUCCCGUCAUUCUGUCAUUUAGUUAGCCACGUUCCCAUAGUGCUUACAGGUUGAUAUUGCACUUCAACCAGGAAUGUGCAGAAAACCAGUGGUUCCUAUAAUCUUUGUUUUUAGCUGAGCUAGUCUCUUGCACAACUUCCCACCUGCUUAAUGGGAAAAUGAGCAACGAGUCUAACUGAAGAAUAACCUGAAGAGGCAAUUUAAGGAGGCUGCCUUUAAGGCGUUUAUCCUUCUCCACGAUCCCAUUUUGCGUGUCAGAAGCCCCCGUCUUUCUCCUUGUAUCCCCUCUGUAACAAACGCUGACCCCUGCUCCCCUCCUUCCCAUGGCUGCUGUACUGGCCAGGGCUCCGCGGAAAACAGACGGUUUGCCGAACAUGGUGACUGAAGGGUUUAAUGAAGGAUUAUUUACAAAGGUGCUGGCCGGGAUGAGUGUCCCGUUACCGGAGCUGAGCUGGAAGGUGGAGCAACAAGGACUCUGCAGAGGUCAGCCUCCCGGUGCGUGGAGCAGGGUGGAGAAUGGAGGAAGGCGGAUCUGCAGUGGCAAAUGGAGGAUAACCAGCCCACGAUUUGUGCUGAAGAGGAAAAGACAAAAGAAACAAGCACAUUAGUAAUUUUCAAAAUGCUGUACUCGUCCCAUUACAUAUCUAUUACUAUUAUUAAUAUUUUUAUUGAAGUAUAAUUGACAUACAUACAUAUCUCUAUUGGACUUUUAUAUUGGACUCAUUCUCACCUUUAUAAAUAGCAAAAGAGGACGUCUUUCAAACUCUAAAUGUUCUGAUGAAACUAAUGUAUAUUAAGAGAUUCUAAUGAGAGGCAGCACAGCCUCUCCCAGAGAUUGUAUUAAAGUCUCUUUUGGUUGUAAGUUACAGAAACACACUAGAGCUAGCUUAAACAGAAAAAGAAAAAUAAAAGAGGAGGAAAGUAGAAUUAUUAGGAGGCUGGGGCGUCUCCCAGGUGCAGUGGACUUCAGGAACAGACUGGCAGCCUCCAUCACUUGUUCCUUCUCCCUGUGCCCCUAUUUUGUUCUCCUCUCUGCUCUGUAGACCAGCUUCUUCUAUAUUUCCAGUCCACACAGCAGAAAAGAUGGCCGCCUGGUACUCCCAAGUUCACCGCAGUGUAGUCACCAGAGAGGGACUGAACCUUAUGUCUUAGUCCCUGUACCAGUCAGGGCCCAAUCAGGAGAUAGGAACCACACAGCAAUUUGAAUUGUGAAAGUUUAAUGUAAAGAAUUAUUAACUAUGUGAAAUAAAAUGAAAUCAAAAAUACUCCUGAGAACAAGAUGGACUCUGUGUGGCUAACGGGGACCUCAAAACAAAUGGAGCCAAGCAGCCAUGACGAGAGCAGGAUGCAGCCACGUACUCUGUUCUUGGGAAAACCACCGAAUGCGCUCUUAAGCUUUCACUCUGCCAAAGCCCCUAACGGCCACCUGGACCUAACCAACAAAACUGUGACCUGCACCAACUGAUCAGGACUCAGUGGGCUUGUAUCUCUUAUUUGCAUAAGCAGAUCUGAGUGGGAACCUGCACGGAAACUUUUUCUGUAAAGGCAUCCCCCUUUUCUUUGUUCUCCCCUGAGCCUACUUUCAGUUUGCUGCCGAAGGCCACAUCUCCCCGGUUUGCAAACUGUAUGAGGAAAAAAUUUUCCUAACUUAAUUCUUAUACUGGAUAUUUUUGUUAACAACUAUAACAGGGAUUGGAGUAACAAGGGAUCAGCCAGUAGGAAGUAAACAGAACUCUAGAAAGCACAACAAUAGCGGCUCCAAGGCUCAGGGCUGAGCUAGACCAUCCAAGAUAGAGCCCCGGGCCGCCACCCCAUGGCUGAGCUCCAGACCUUGUUGGAGAGGGCACGGCUGUGGUUCACUGGAUGGAAGAGAAGUCCCUAUGUUGCUGCACUGUCAGAACUCGCUAGAAAUCCACCCUCUAGGGUGCUUAAGAUGUGUUCACUGGAGUCACCCCUCUAUAAAACCACCUGUAGUGGGAGUGCCAGGGGAGGCUGCUGGCCUUCGGAUGAUUCUGGCCACCAUGCACUGGGGGAGAUGGAUGCUAAAGAAGCCAUCUAUCCUGGCUUGCAUCAGCAGGACCCUGAUGUUGAAGAAGUCGCUUGCAUUGCAGGAGCUGGAUACUGGAGGAGUUGUCCAAGCUGUAGAAGCCAGGUGCCACACGCUACAGGGGCCUGCUGAGCAGAGCACACCAGAAUCAGAAAGGAAAAUCCCUCCUACAACGACUCUCCAGUGCUCUCUAUUAACAAAGCAUAACUUUUGUCAGCCGGCACGGGAAACAUUUUAGAUGGCCCACUACAUUUUAUGGAGCAGAUAAUGAAGGUUGAAUUUGGAGCUGAGAGGCAAUCGAUUGACAACUAGCACCAUCCCAAGUCCAUGUGCCCAGAGAAGGAACGAUGAUUGGUCCAGCUCGUGCCACCCCUGGAUUGGUCAGUCACCUGUGCUCAGAAUGGAACUGCAUUAAUAAGAAAGUGGUGAGCAUGGAAAAGCAAGUGCAAGAGAGCAAACUGGUCACCAGGUAGCCUCCGCUCUCCAAGGGAGAGACACAAGCAUUUCAGUCGCUAGAGACGUUGUCUCUCCUCUAGAUCAGAGACACUUCAGCACUGAGCAGCCUGCUGAUUUUCCUUCCCUUCUACCCCAAUACCAGCUGGAGGACAGAUCUUGGGCAGUGGAUGCUCAUAGUCUGCUGUCUGGAAAGGGAUGUCAUGCAGUGUGAGCUACUACGUUGGCUGUGAUGGCUACCCUAGCCUUGAGAGGAAAUCCAUCACCAUGAGUCUGCUCUUAUCUGUGCACUAAGAAAAGCCAGUUUCUGAUACUGAGAAGCUAAGCAUCAGGUUGGCCUCAAGGGACUCAAUCAGGUGCUCUCCUGAAGGACCUGCACCCUAGACAACAUCGCUGCUGGCACAUUCCCCAAGGAAGAACCCUGCAGAACACGGAAUUGGGCAUGGAUGAAUAGUAUUCUACAAAUGUCUAACUAACAAUCAUUCUCUCAUUGCCGGACUUCCGGGCUGUGUCCAGUCUUUCGCUAUUACAUGUAAUACACGGAUGAACGUCUGUGUGAUCAGGGUUCUUUUUGCUGUUUUGUUUGUCUUUGUAUUUUAAGUGAUUCCCUGAGGAUAGAUCAUAAGAACUGGGAAUAAACUGAUGUCCUCUUUUUAGGGGGGAGAAAAACGUGAACAUUUUAAAGACGCUUGAGGCCCACUGCCCCAUGAUUUCAGAAAUGCGCCAAUUUCAGUCCACUAGAGGCAUCCUGACUUACACAGAGUAUUAUAGUUUAAUAUAUAUAUAGUUUAUACGUGUGUGCAUACAUUUGAAAUCUCGCUUUUUUACGUUUCUCUAGUUACUAUUAGGGUUAGAUAUCCAUGCC
ensembl:lncRNA